rnacentral:rRNA from 1 species
AGAGUUUGAUCCUGGCUCAGGACGAACGCUGGCGGCGUGCCUAACACAUGCAAGUCGUGCGAGAAAGCGCACUUCGGUGUGCGAGUACAGCGGCGGACGGGUGAGUAACACGUGAGCAACCUAUCUGGUGGCGGGGGACAACCCGGGGAAACCCGGGCUAAUACCGCAUGGAGCGGCGUCUCGCAGGGGAUGUCGUGAAAGCUGGCCUCUCGGAGAAGCCAGCGCCGCCGGAGGGGCUCGCGGCCUAUCAGCUGGUUGGUGAGGUAAGGGCUCACCAAGGCGAUGACGGGUAGCUGACGUGAGAGCGUGAUCAGCCACACUGGGACUGAGACACGGCCCAGACUCCUACGGGAGGCAGCAGUGGGGAAUUUUGCACAAUGGGUGAGAGCCUGAUGCAGCGACGCCGCGUGAGGGAGGAAGGCCUUCGGGUCGUAAACCUCUGUCUGGUGGGACGAACCCUUGGUCGGCGAACAGCCGGUCGAGCUGACGGUACCGCCAAAGAAAGCUCCGGCCAACUCCGUGCCAGCAGCCGCGGUAAAACGGGGGGAGCGAGCGUUGUCCGGAAUCACUGGGCGUAUAGGGCGCGUAGGCGGCCGAAUAAGUCGUAUGUGAAAGCCCACGGCUCAACCGUGGGGGGCCAUGCGAUACUGUUCGGCUAGAGACAGGCAGGGGCGAGCGGAAUUCCCGGUGUAGCGGUGGAAUGCGUAGAUAUCGGGAAGAACACCUGCGGCGAANGCGGCUCGCUAGGCCUGCUCUGACGCUGAAGCGCGAAAGCGUGGGGAGCGAACAGGAUUAGAUACCCUGGNAGUCCACGCCGUAAACGUUGGGCACUAGAUGUUGGAANGNAUUGGGCCUUUCAGUGUCGCAGCUAACGCAUUAAGUGCCCCGCCUGGGGAGUA